rnacentral:ncRNA from 1 species
AAUCCGCACCGUCGCGGUGUUUUCCCACUGUGUGUGAUGAUGCUGGGGACGACGCAAGGGGAGCGCGAGGAAACCGGUGCGAAUCCGGUGCGGUCCCGCCACUGUGACCGGAGCGAUCCGGGAGCCAGGAACUCAACCCCCUUGCCGGGUGCGC